AUUGAACGCUGGCGGCAUGCCUUACACAUGCAAGUCGAACGGCAGCACGGGAGCAAUCCUGGUGGCGAGUGGCGAACGGGUGAGUAAUGUAUCGGAACGUGCCCAGUCGUGGGGGAUAACGUAGCGAAAGCUACGCUAAUACCGCAUACGAUCUGUGGAUGAAAGCGGGGGACCGUAAGGCCUCGCGCGAUUGGAGCGACCGAUAUCAGAUUAGGUAGUUGGUGGGGUAAAGGCCUACCAAGCCGACGAUCUGUAGCUGGUCUGAGAGGACGACCAGCCACACUGGGACUGAGACACGGCCCAGACUCCUACGGGAGGCAGCAGUGGGGAAUUUUGGACAAUGGGCGCAAGCCUGAUCCAGCAAUGCCGCGUGCAGGAUGAAGGCCUUCGGGUUGUAAGCUGCUUUUGUACGGAGCGAAAAGGCUCUCUCUAAUACAGGGGGCUCAUGACGGUACCGUAAGAAUAAGCACCGGCUAACUACGUGCCAGCCGCCGCGGUAA
rnacentral:rRNA from 1 species